GUAGUUUUCUAGAUGCCAUAGGAAGGUUCUUAUACCUGUCUGGAGAGAUGGAUGUAAAAAUUUUCAUUUUCCAGAGCAAUUAAGAGAGCUUUUUAACAAGUUAGCCAUCUUUGAAAACAGGUUUCUUCAGACAGAAUAUGCAUACAACUGGGAAAGGUGCUGAGAUAUCCAUGAACAGUAUAUAGAUCUCUCUCAAAUAGAAGUACCUCAUCCACAAGAUGACAAAAGAGAUUAUCGUCAUACAACAGGCAAGGGAUAUCAGCAGCCAACUUCUCCAAAAUCAGCAUUACCAGAGCACGAGAAAAUUCAAGCUUCAAGGAAGGAAAAAGAAGUCAUGAAAGUAGAUAGAAACUGCAAGUUGGCAUUGCUAAUAUUUAUGCAGUUUUAAAACUCUUUCUUGGACUAACUUCAGCCCUAUCAUAGAUUCAAUAAAGUUAACGAAGUUGUAAUUA